AGAGUUUGAUCCUGGCUCAGAUUGAACGCUGGCGGCAGGCCUAACACAUGCAAGUCGAGCGAGAAAGCCCUUCGGGGUGAGUAGAGCGGCGGACGGGUGAGUAACGCGUGGGAAUCUGUCCAGUAGAGGGGGAUAACACGGGGAAACUCGUGCUAAUACCGCAUACGCCCUCCGGGGGAAAGCAGGGGAUCUUAUGACCUUGCGCUAUUGGGUGAGCCCGCGUCGGAUUAGCUAGUUGGUGGGGUAAAGGCCUACCAAGGCGACGAUCCGUAGCUGGUCUGAGAGGAUGAUCAGUCACACUGGAACUGAGACACGGUCCAGACUCCUACGGGAGGCAGCAGUGGGGAAUAUUGCGCAAUGGGGGCAACCCUGACGCAGCCAUGCCGCGUGUGUGAAGAAGGCUCUAGGGUUGUAAAGCACUUUCAAUAGGGAGGAAAAGCUAAUGGUUAAUACCCAUUAGCCGUGACGUUACCUAUAGAAGAAGCACCGGCUAACUCCGUGCCAGCAGCCGCGGUAAUACGGAGGGGGUUAGCGUUGUUCGGAAUUACUGGGCGUAAAGCGCGCGUAGGCGGAUCGGAAAGUUAGAGGUGAAAUCCCAGGGCUCAACCCUGGAACUGCCUUUAAAACUAUCGGUCUAGAGUUCGAGGAGAGGUGAGUGGAAUCCGAGUGUAGAGGUGAAAUUCGUAGAUAUUCGGAGGAACACCAGUGGCCGAAGGCGGCUCACUGGCUCGAUACUGACGCUGAAGGUGCCGAAAGGUGUGGGGGAGCAAACAGGAUUAAAUACCCUGGUAGUCCAACCGAAACGAUGAUGCCAGACGUCGGUAGCAUGCUAUUCGGUUCACACCUAACGGAUUAAGCAUUCCGCCUGGGGAGUACGUCGCAAGAUAAAACUCAAGGAAUGACGGGGGCCGCAAAGGCGGUGGAACAGUGGUUUUAUUCGAAGCAACGCGCAGAAUCCUUACCAACCCUUGACAUACCUGUCGUACUUUCCAGAGAUG
rnacentral:rRNA from 1 species